GGGUCGUUUUCUGAGCCCUUGCACGGCAAGGGAUCUCGGGAAUCUCCAGUUGGCUUUUAACCGAUUGGUCCUGAGUUCGAAUCUCAGACGACCCA
rnacentral:tRNA from 1 species